CCUACGGGUGGCAGCAGUGGGGAAUCUUGCGCAAUGCUCGUAAGAGUGACGCAGCGACGCCGCGUGAAUGACGAAGGCCUUCGGGUCGUAAAGUUCUUUCGACAGGGAAGAAAAUGCCUAUAAGUAACUGUGUAUGUAUUGACGGUACCUGUAUAAGCAGCCCCGGCUAACUCCGUGCCAGCAGCCGCGGUAAUACGGAGGGGGCGAGCGUUGUUCGGAGGGACUGGGCGUAAAGAGCACGUAGGCGGUGUUGUAAGUCAUUAGUCAAAGACUAGAGCUCAACUUUAGUAAGGCUAGUGAGACGAUAAUACUAGAGUAUCAGAGAGGAUUGCAGAAUUCCUGGUGUAGCGGUGAAAUGCGUAGAUAUCAGGAGGAAUACCGUUAGCGAAGGCGGCAAUCUGGCUGGAAACUGACGCUGAGGUGCGAAAGCGUGGGUAGCAAACAGGAUUAGAUACCCUUGUAGUC
rnacentral:rRNA from 1 species